rnacentral:lncRNA from 1 species
GCCCCAGAUGGCUUACACAUGGGCCUUGAGGGAGAGACUGAGGGGACACUCGGUCCCUUCCUGCCAUCCCGUGAUAGGUGUCCUCACGCACAGUGAGGCUGUAGGAGGCUGCCCCUGCCUGGAAGGAAGGGCAAAGUCUGCUUCCUGUGCUGUCCUUGGUGUACCCCACCAUGGAAGCAGGGUCAGGCCUCAGGGCAGCCCUCAUACCAAGCUCCCCUAAGUGGCACUUCUGAGUCUCCUCCCAAGCCAGAUGGCCUCAGCCUCUUUCCCUCCUCUCUGAACACAGAGGCAGGCGCUUGCAGGGAUGGACCAGGGUACACCAGUGACAUGUCUAAGAACUUCAUGGAAAGGACUGACUCUAGGUGCCCAGGGACUCUGCCAGGCUCUCGCCAGGUCCUCCUCCCCAUGUCCCCUGGAACUUGUUUGUUCAACUCAGGUUCCGGUCUGGGAGCCUGGCUUCCCAAGGACCUUGAGGCCAGAGCCACUUCCAUUGUAUGUGUAGUUGGGUAGGGGAAAAAAAAAAAUUAAUGAAAGGAAAAGAAAGUCAAAGUGGUCACAAGCCUUCCACAUUCACAAAAGCUUACAGUUCAUAAUGGAAUCUUUUUUUGGCCCAGAGCCCCGAAAAGCCCCAAUGGAGACAUCACCAAGAACUCAGGGAAACCUUUCCCCAGGGCGGUCCCAAGCAUGGCCCCACCCCCUAGCCACCCAGGCCCUGCCUGCCAGCUCUGAACCCCACACUGUGAUGCCCAUUAGAGUAGGCAGGGUCCUUCCCCAGCUCUUCUCAGCCACGUGCUCAGGGUGGGGCACAACACAGAGGACAGAGGGAUAGAGAGACAGAGGGGAGCACAGGGCUGGCUGCUGGGAAGCUUGAGGAGGCAUCCUAUCCCUGCUGGAAAGGGGUAGAUGGUGGAUACACUUGGCCGGAGAGUUUGGGCCUGGAGGAAAGGUUGGGAAAAGCCUGGCUACCCAUGGGGGAGGUCUACCUGCAGGACUCGCAUAGGCACUGUAAACAGCACAGCAGGCAGGAAGGGUCAGACUGCUUCUUCAGGAUUCCUGUGUAUCCUGAAGACCAGCUGAGACAGCCAGCCUCAAACCUCAUAGACUGAACAGCUAUUGGAUUCUGAGACCUUACACUGGUAGACAGACAUUGUUAACUUAUCUGGACCAGACCACAGCCUCCUGUCCUGGAACUCACAGAGACCCGCCUGCCUCUGCCUCCUGAGUGCUGGGAUUAAAGGCAUGCGCCACCAAUGCCCGGCUGUCUGAUGAUAAAUGCAAUGCUUGAGAAUCACGGUCAAGCGGAGCGCAGUCUGCUGGCCUAAUGCACCUCCAAGCAGGAAGGGGAGACAGGAUAGGACCACCGAGGGGUCACCCUCCCAAGCCUCCGUGUUGCACUGGGAUACUAGCCGCUGUCACGCAGCUUUUGUCAGGGCAGGAACACAGCAAGGUGUCUGGAGGCUGGGGCCAUCGAGGGACACUCUGUACAAGCUGUUCCACUCAGGGUGUCUGGAGGCUGGGGCCAGCGAGGGACACUCUGUACAAGCUGUUCCGCUCAGGGUGUCUGGAGGCUGGGGCCAGCGAGGGACACUCUGUACAAGCAUGGACACUGUAUCUGAGCCAGAUCUGCAGGUGGUGACAGCCUGGCUUCGGGCCUUCUUUACAGGCGUGCCCUAGGAGCCCACUGGCUCCUGUAUGCAUCUCAGUCUUCCCAGGGGCUCCGUAGAGCACGGAGCACUUGGCCAUCUUAGGCUUGAUGCAGUAGGUCUGUCCUUCUGCCCCAGGACCCCACUUGGAGCACUGGGGAAUUGCUACUGGGUGCUGCAGGCCAGCACUGAUUGGAUUGGAUCUGAACAAUCCCUAAAGGCAACGUGAAAGAAAUAACCCUCUCUCCUCUCCUAUCCCGUGGCUGGAGAGGCAGGCACUAUGUGGAGUCGGGAGAAGCCUGAAGAGCCCGUGAGCUGGUACAAGCUGAGCAGUGGUCCCGGGGAGCCCUUCUGGGUGAUGGAAGACAGGCCAUCCACACAGGUUGUGAGGCAGUGGUGCCUCUUCAGAUUCGGGAGAUUCACAGACACUCUGGCUGCCUGGGUAGAUACAUGAAGAUCACCGGUGCCAGUUUCAGUACAAGGCCAGAGUGGGGGACAAAAUCACAAGCUCUCAACUCUGUCCUUUUUCAAGAGAAAAAGCCUGCAUUUCUAUAGCAGAGUGACUUCAUUGUGGCCUAAGAACCCGAGCCUGUCAGGACAGGUAGUCUCUGUGAGGCUCCUCACUGUCCUCACAGCAGUCCCUUUGUGGGGCAGGAGAGAUGGUGGCCUCCUGCCAGUCUCCUGGAUACUUGAGGACACCAGUAGUCCAUCAUGACGUUCCCAAGCCUUGGUUUGGGGAUAUCAGGUCACCUGAAGACGG